GAUGAACGCUGGCGGCGUGCUUAACACAUGCAAGUCGAACGGAAAGGCCCAAGCUUGCUUGGGUACUCGAGUGGCGAACGGGUGAGUAACACGUGGGUGAUCUGCCCUGCACUUCGGGAUAAGCCUGGGAAACUGGGUCUAAUACCGGAUAGGAGCACAUUUUGGAUGGUGGGGUGGAAAGGUUUUCGGUGUGGGAUGAGCUCGCGGCCUGUCAGCUUGUUGGUGGGGUAAUGGCCUACCAAGGCGUCGACGGGUAGCCGGCCUGAGAGGGUGUACGGCCACAUUGGGACUGAGAUACGGCCCAGACUCCUACGGGAGGCAACAGUGGGGAAUAUUGCACAAUGGGCGCAAGCCUUAUGCAGCGACGCCGCGUGGGGGAUGACGGCCUUCGGGUUGUAAACUCCUUUCGCUAGGGACGAAGCGUUAUGUGACGGUACCUGGAGAAGAAGCACCGGCUAACUACGUG
rnacentral:rRNA from 1 species